GACGAACGCUGGCGGCGUGCUUAACACAUGCAAGUCGAACGGGUCUGCCCUGUUUUUUGCGGGGUGGGUCAGUGGCGAACGGGUGAGUAACACGUGAGUAACCUGCCCCUCACUUCUGGAUAACCGCUUGAAAGGGUGGCUAAUACGGGGUGUUCUGGCUGUGCCGCAUGGUUCGGCUGGGAAAGAUUCACUUUUGUGGUGUUUUGGUUGGGGAUGGGCUGGCGUCCUAUCAGCUUGUUGGUGGGGCGAUGGCCUGCCAAGGCUUUGACGGGUAGCCGGCCUGAGGGGGUGGGCGGUCCUGCUGGGGCUGAGAGACGGCCCAGACUCCGGCGGGAGGCAGCAGUGGGGGGUAUUGCACAAUGGGCGGAAGCCUGAUGCAGCGACGUCGCGUGAGGGAUGGAGGCCGUCGGGUUGUGAACCUCUUUCGCCGGUGAAGAAGGUCCUGCUCUUUGUGGUGGGGUUGACGGUAGCCGGGUUAUGAAGCGCCGGCUAACUACGUG
rnacentral:rRNA from 1 species